GCCGGUGGAAUUACUACAAGUAAGCCGGGAGGAUUUUGAAGCCAACCGCCAGGAUCUGUCGCUGGAAGACAGGGUCGUCACCUAUCACCGUCAGGAGAGACAGCGACUAAAGCGGCUGGGCGAGGUCCGGUCGCUACGAGAUCGCUUGGUAGUCAACGACGAGCGAAGGGCCAGCAGGCGGUCUGAGCGAACUCCUGCUUCAGAUGACGCUGCCCUUCGUAUCUGUACCGAAGUAGGAGGAGGCCCUUCGACAUCCUCAGCAGGGUAUGCUGAGGGAGAAGAGAAGGGCGAAAAAGAAACUCCUGAAAAGAAGGACUCAAGAAAGAAAAGGAAGAAACACCAAGAGGAAGCGAAGCGCGCCUCUUCGCCAGCAGCAGUUUCAGGGGCAGGGGAAGAGGUUGGAAGUUCUUCUUCUUCGUCUUCUUCUUCUCCCAGCUCGCUGACGUCCUCCAAGGAACAGAAGGAGCAGGAGAACAUCGCUCGCAGCCUCACAAGCAAAGAAGGUAGAGUGGAGAGACUAAUUAUUCCUUUUCUUUUGCUUUGAGUUUGACCAAGAGAUUGUACCUUAUGCACUGCUGUGAAUAACCCUUGAAAAUGGGUUUUGAGAACUUGGAGAGCGUUGGAGAGUGCUCAUCUGUAAGGGGAAUUUUGGUUGUAAAUUAUUGUUUGUCAAUUUUGAUAAAAAAAAAGGUGGUGAAACAAAUGUGAAAUGAAGUUAUUUGUAUUGACUGAGGAAGGUCCAUAAAAUCGCCAUGAGAGUAAACUCCUCAA